AUGAGAACGUUGGUUCUGCUGUACCUGUUGACAGCCCUUCCUGGUAUCCUGUCUGAGGUGCAGCUUCAGGAGUCAGGACCUGGCCUUGUGAAACCCUCACAGUCACUCUCCCUCACCUGUUCUGUCACUGGUUACUCCAUCACCAGUGGUUAUGGAUGGAACUGGAUCCGGAAGUUCCCAGGAAAUAAACUGGAGUGGAUGGGAUACAUAAGCUACAGUGGUAGCACUAGCUACAACCCGUCUCUCAAAAGUCGAAUCUCCAUUACGAGAGACACAUCCAAGAAUCAGUUCUUCCUGCAGUUGACCUCUGUAACUACUGAGGACACAGCCACAUAUUACUGUGCUUCCCUGAAAUUUCAAGUCUUUGGAAGGCUAGGCACUUCAUCUACCAUCAAUGCCAGACAAGAUAGCCAAGUUAGAAGAACAUCACACACACACAGGCAAUAG